rnacentral:misc_RNA from 1 species
CAUUGUCGAUCGCCCCAUUUGACUCCUCGUCCCCUCGUCUUUCGACCGGCGGCGCGUGGGCAUGGGUCGGUCUUGAUGUGGAAACGACCGUUCCAGCACACGAGCGGUGAUGGUCCUGUGUGCGUCGACGGGCUCCGUGCCACUGUGCAGCCGACCGUCGUCGCCUCCUCCCUUUCAUUGUCCCUCUCGAGUCGUUGUGUCUUCGUGCCUCUCGAGUUGCCUGCGCGAUCUACCGGAUUUGUCGGACGGAAAAGUGAGAUCUUGCCCACAAGCACCUCUCCCGCUCACUCUCUGCCUCGCGCUGUAGUUGGAGCGGCUACGCAACCGUUGCCCCGAUGCUCGCUGGGAUGAUGGUGCACCUUCGGGUGGCCGUUGUCCUCGAUCAUCGUGCCUUCGGUGGUUUCGGUGAGUGCAUCUCGGGCCUGGCAAAUAUAAGUCUUUCGGCUAGGGGGCUGCACUGCCUCCCUGUCGUGAACUCUCUCUUUUCGGUUUGGACGACGCCCGGCUCCGUCCCCCGCCUUUGGCGUCGGACGGGCGCGGGCGCGUCGCGGACGAUG